AUGUUGGACCCAAGAUCCGAAAUCUACCCCACCAUAGAGUAUCGCCCCAUCCAGCCCUCCGACCUCGAGGUUCUUGAGAAGAUUCAUCUCUCGCUGUUUCCUAUAAGGUACGAGAGGGAGUUCUUCUUGAACGUUGUCAAUGGUAAUGGUGUCAUUUCGUGGGGUGCUGUGGACACUAGCAGAUCGGAUGAAGGCAGGGAUGAGCUGAUAGGCUUUGUGACCACGAGGAUGAUUGCAGCAAAAGAUAGCGAGAUCGAGGAUUUAUUUAGAUACAACAACUCGCACAAAGAUCUAACACUUCUUUAUAUCCUGACGCUUGGUGUAGUGGAUAGCUACAGAAACCUCGGCAUAGCUUCUUCGCUUGUUCGAGAGGUGAUUAAACAUGCUGCAAGUGUAUCAAAUUGCAGGGGUGUUUAUUUACAUGUCAUCUCAUAUAACCAGCCUGCAAUUAACUUUUACAAGAAGAUGCUAUUUAAGCUAGUCAGAAGACUUCCGAUGUUCUACUACAUAAGAGGGCAGCAUUAUGACUCAUACUUGUUUGUGUAUUAUGUCAAUGGGGGGCGUACGCCUUGUUCACCACUGGCUUUCCUAAAGAUGCUAGUUGGCAAGAUCUGGAGGAAAGAGGAAAAGAGUAUCCCGAGAUGGUCCCGUUGUAAGGAAUCGACCACUCUAUUGACCUCACAGAAUAAUAAUAGUAACAAUAAAAGGAUCAUCGCUGGUGAAGAUUCAAGAUGUCAUGUGUAA
rnacentral:rRNA from 1 species